UUAGAAUUCUCUCAAGUGUAGUAGCAAGAGUUUCUGGUAAAUUCAAAGAUGAAAUUAUACCAGUUUCUACCAAGAUUGUGGAUCCAAAAACUGGAGAGGAGAAGCAAAUUAUAGUUUCGGCUGAUGAUGGUAUCCGGCCUAACUCAACUUUGAUGGAUCUAGCAAAGCUAAAGCCUGCAUUCCAGAAAGAUGGUUCAACAACAGCAU